AAUGAAGUGCCUGAUUUAAAAGGGUCAUUUUGAUAAAGUGUUUAAUGCAGAUUUCUGCCUUCAUUA
rnacentral:tRNA from 1 species